AGGACGAACGCUGGCGGCGUGCUUAACACAUGCAAGUCGAGCGGAAAGGCCCUUCGGGGUACUCGAGCGGCGAACGGGUGAGUAACACGUGAGUAACCUGCCCCAGACUUUGGGAUAACCCCCGGAAACGAGGGCUAAUACCGAAUAUUACUUCUGCCCGCAUGGGUGGUGGUGGAAAGUUUUUCGGUUGGGAUGGACUCGCGGCCUAUCAGCUUGUUGGUGGGGUAAUGGCCUACCAAGGCGAGGACGGGUAGCC
rnacentral:rRNA from 1 species